AUACGUAGGGUGCGAGCGUUGUCCGGAAUUACUGGGCGUAAAGAGCUCGUAGGUGGUUUGUCGCGUCGUCUGUGAAAUUCCGGGGCUUAACUCCGGGCGUGCAGGCGAUACGGGCAUAACUUGAGUACUGUAGGGGAGACUGGAAUUCCUGGUGUAGCGGUGAAAUGCGCAGAUAUCAGGAGGAACACCGGUGGCGAAGGCGGGUCUCUGGGCCGUAACGGACGCUGAGGAGCGAAUGCAUGGGUAGCGAACAGGAUUAGAUGCCCUGGUAGUCCAUGCCGUAAACGGUGGGCGCUAGGUGUAGGGGUCUUCCACGACUUCUGUGCCGUAGCUAACGCAUUAAGCGCCCCGCCUGGGGAGUACGGCCGCAAGGCUAAAACUCAAAGGAAUUGACGGGG
rnacentral:rRNA from 1 species